rnacentral:lncRNA from 1 species
AAAAAGCAAGAAAAUAUUCUCCCCUAGAGCCUCCAGGGCCACAUCCCUGCUUGAUCCAUUUUAGACUUCUGACCUUCAGAACUCCAAAGGAGUAAAUCCAUGUCAUUUUAACCCACUCAUUUUUGCUCAUUGGUUACAGCAGCAAUGCAAUGAGGAUGAUGCCGAUGCUGCUGUUGAUGACAAUCUGAAAACCAGAAGCUCCUUGACACAAUGAAGGAACAGUCUAUCCAACCAGAGAAGUGCAUGCUCUCCAGCCCUAGGGAGGCCUGUCAGGAAGGACCGAAAAUGUUCCAGAUGUUGAAAUAACACGCAUGUCAUCUUCCUGGUGUUAUGUUUCCUGAUGGGCUCCCAUUGAUCAAACCCAGCAGAAGCCAGAGAGCAACAAAGCUGAUGUUGGCCAUAAAGCACAGAAGCCUGAAGGAUUAUUCAGGAGAAGCAGAUAUGCAGUACAAUGAUGGGC